AGCAUAAUAAUUUGCCUUAUAAUUUGAGGCUAGAAUGAAUGGUUUGACGAAGGUUAAGCUGUCUCUAUCUUAUUUUUUAGAAUUUAAUCUUCAAAGUGAUAAAGCUUAAAUUUUUUAAAGGGACGAGAAGACCCUAUUGAGCUUAUAAUUUUAGGGUUGCCUAACAUUAGUUAUUUGGGGAGCAAUUUAUAAAUUUUAAUUGGGGUGAUUAAGGAAUAAAUAAGAAAAUAAUAUAGUAACUUCCUUAGAUUGAAAUAUUGUUAAAUAAAGUAACCAAUGUUAUUAUUGCUUUUAUAAUAGUUACCAUAGGGAUAACAGCGUAAUCUGUUUAGAGAGUUCUUAUUGAAAAAUGGGAUUGCGACCUCGAUGUUGGAUUAAAGUAACCUCAGGGUGCAGAAGCUU
rnacentral:rRNA from 1 species